UACGUAGGGGGCAAGCGUUGUCCGGAGUUACUGGGCGUAAAGCGCACGCAGGCGGUCUCUUAAGUUUGGAGUGACAGUUGGUGGCUUAACUGCCAAAGUGCUUCGAAAGCUGAGAGACUUGAGGGCUUCAGAGGGACACGGAAUUCCGGGUGGAGUGGUGAAAUGCGUAGAGAUCCGGAGGAACACCAAAGGCGAAGGCAGUGUCCUGGGGAGUACCUGACGCUCAGGUGCGAAAGCCAGGGGAGCGAACGGG
rnacentral:rRNA from 1 species